GACGAACGCUGGCGGCGUGCUUAACACAUGCAAGUCGAGCGAGGCCCGUCCUUCGGGACGGUGUCCUAGCGGCGAACGGGUGAGUAACACGUGGGCAACCUGCCCCUAGCACUGGGAUAACCCCGGGAAACCGGGGCUAAUACCGGAUACGACUGCGGAAGGCAUCUUCUGCGGUGGAAAGGGUUACUGGCUAGGGAUGGGCCCGCGGCCUAUCAGCUUGUUGGUGGGGUAACGGCCCACCAAGGCGACGACGGGUAGCCGGCCUGAGAGGGCGACCGGCCACACUGGGACUGAGACACGGCCCAGACUCCUACGGGAGGCAGCAGUGGGGAAUAUUGCACAAUGGGCGAAAGCCUGAUGCAGCGACGCCGCGUGAGGGAUGACGGCCUUCGGGUUGUAAACCUCUUUCAGCUCCGACGAAGCGAAAGUGACGGUAGGAGCAGAAGAAGCACCGGCCAACUACGUGCCAGCAGCCGCGGUAAUACGUAGGGUGCAAGCGUUGUCCGGAAUUAUUGGGCGUAAAGAGCUCGUAGGCGGCUUGUCGCGUCGACUGUGAAAACCUGGGGCUUAACCCCGGGCCUGCAGUCGAUACGGGCAAGCUAGAAUUCGGUAGGGGAGACUGGAAUUCCUGGUGUAGCGGUGAAAUGCGCAGAUAUCAGGAGGAACACCGGUGGCGAAGGCGGGUCUCUGGGCCGAUAUUGACGCUGAGGAGCGAAAGCGUGGGGAGCGAACAGGAUUAGAUACCCUGGUAGUCCACGCCGUAAACGGUGGGCGCUAGGUGUGGGCCACAUUCCACGUGGUCUGUGCCGCAGCUAACGCAUUAAGCGCCCCGCCUGGGGAGUACGGCCGCAAGGCUAAAACUCAAAGGAAUUGACGGGGGCCCGCACAAGCGGCGGAGCAUGUGGCUUAAUUCGAUGCAACGCGAAGAACCUUACCUGGGCUUGACAUGCAGGGAAAUCCAUUAGAGAUAGUGGGUCCGUAAGGGCCUUGCACAGGUGGUGCACGGCUGUCGUCAGCUCGUGUCGUGAGAUGUUGGGUUAAGUCCCGCAACGAGCGCAACCCUCGUUCUAUGUUGCCAGCGAGUAAUGUCGGGGACUCAUAGGAGACUGCCGGGGUCAACUCGGAGGAAGGUGGGGAUGACGUCAAGUCAUCAUGCCCCUUAUGUCCAGGGCUGCACACAUGCUACAAUGGCCGGUACAAAGAGCUGCGAUACCGCAAGGUGGAGCGAAUCUCAUAAAGCCGGUCUCAGUUCGGAUUGGGGUCUGCAACUCGACCCCAUGAAGUCGGAGUCGCUAGUAAUCGCAGAUCAGCAACGCUGCGGUGAAUACGUUCCCGGGCCU
rnacentral:rRNA from 1 species